GUGAACGCUGGCGGUAGGCCUAACACAUGCAAGUCGAACGGCAGCACAGUAAGAGCUUGCUCUUACGGGUGGCGCGUGGCGGACGGGUGAGGAAUACAUCGGAAUCUACUUUUUCGUGGGGGAUAACGGAGGGAAACUUACGCUAAUACCGCAUACGACCUACGGGUGAAAGCAGGGGAUCUUCGGACGUGGCGCGAUUGAAUGAGCCGAUGUCGGAUUAGCUAGUUGGCGGGGUAAAGGCCCACCAAGGCGACGAUCCGUAGCUGGUCGGAGAGGAUGUACAGCCACACUGGAACUGAGACACGGUCCAGACUCCUACGGGAGGCAGCGGUGGGGAAUAUUGGACGAAGGGCGCAAGCCUGAUCCAGCCAUACCGCGUGGGUGAAGAAGGCCUUCGGGUUGUAAAGCCCUUUUGUUGGGAAAGAAAAGCAGCAGGUUAAUCCCCCGCUGUUCUGACGGUACCCAAAGAAUAAGCACCGGCUAACUUCGUG
rnacentral:rRNA from 1 species